CCUCGGCCCCUCCAUGGCUGCCCAGCUCCGCUCAGCUCUGGCCCUUUAAGAAAAAAAAAAAAAAGGAGAAAUCCCCAGUACUCACCGCUCCUGUAGCGGCCUUGGGACUUUGAGGGGCUGAUGCAGAGCCUCCCAUGUGGUGUGGGGCAGUGGGGGGCAGCGGGGAUUGCCCCCAUGGGCAGGAAUGUUUAUACUAACCUGCAAAGAUUGAAUCAAAUCACCCUUGGGCUUUUUGACCCAGAAGACUAAAGUGGCUGCCAGAGCAGAGAAUGACAUAGUUGCAGAGCACUGUGGAGAAAAUAGGAGCAGCAGAGUCUGCAGUGAGGUACUUCAGCUGUGAAGAGUGACAUGUGAUGCAAGAUAUGUGGUGAAUGCUCAGUGACUGACAAUGAAUGUGGUCUCUCAUGCUGAGAGAUAGGAAGCAAAGUUGUUUGGUGCUGGUGUAUGGUCAAAGUAAAACAUGAUAGACAACGCUAUAACUACUCAGGGCUACAGUGUGGAACCCAGGAGAACAAGGUCAGCCUGGCUAGCUCUCCCACACUUCACUCAGCCUGAGAUGUGCUUGUGAGCUGCCCUGAGGGCUGGAAGAGACUGAGACUUCUGAUCUAAGUGACUGUAUCUUCUAUAAAUUGCCAUGAAGCUUUGGGUGGCUACGAGGAGAAUUUAAGAGUCUACAUAUGAUUCCAGGGCAUGAGCUAUUGAGCGCAUUAAUGAAAGAGUGUGCUGAACAUUCCCAACCUGCAGGAUCACUUUUUAGGACUAAAACUUCCCUGGUGACUGGAGACCCUCUCCAGAAGUAAGAGACCAAAAUAUGGCAACUGAGACCUAAAAGGAGGAGCCUAUGGUGUUCCUCUGGACACUGACUUCCAGCAACAGCCAUCAGUGAAGAAUAAAGCAAAUUAAAUUAG